rnacentral:rRNA from 1 species
GGUUUCUUGUAAUAUAAUUAAUUUAAGAAAUUUAACCUGCCCACUGAAUAAAAUUUUGAAGGGCCGCAGUAUUUUGACUGUGCAAAGGUAGCAUAAUCAUUAGUCUUUUAAUUGGGGACUGGUAUGAAUGGUUGAACGAGGUGAAUACUGUUUUAUAUUAAUUUAAUUGAAUUUAGAUUUUAAGUAAAAAGACUUAAAUAUUAUUAAGGGACGAGAAGACCCUAUAGAGUUUAAUAUAUAAUAUAAUUUAAUUGAGUUAAAAUUUAAUUUUUAAUUAUUAUUAAGUUUAUUUAAUUGGGGUGAUUAAAGAAUAUUAUAAACUUCUUUUUUUAUUUAAUGUUAUAAAUAACUUUAUGAUCCAAUUUUAAUGAUUAAAAGAUUAAAUUACCUUAGGGAUAACAGCAUAAUUUUUUUUAAGAGUUCAUAUUGAAAGAAAAGAUUAUGACCUCGAUGUUGGAUUAAGAUUAGUUUUGGGUGUAGAUGUUCAAUAACUAGGUCUGUUCGACCUUAAAAUUCUUACA